GGAGCCGGCCGGACAACCGCUGCUGCUGCGUGCAGGAGAGGAAAGUCCGGGCUCCACAGGGCGAGGUGCCAGGUAACGCCUGGGCGGCGUGAGCCGACGGAAAGUGCAACAGAGAGCAGACCGCCGAUGGCCGCAGCAUUGCGGAUCAGGCAAGGGUGAAACGGUGCGGUAAGAGCGCACCGCGAGUCCGGCAACGGACCGGCACGGCAAACCCCACCUGGAGCAAGACCAAAUAGGGAAGGUGUGCGCGCAAGCGCACGACACGUGGCCCGCGUGCCUUCCGGGUAGGUCGCUGGAGCGCGGCGGCGACGCCGCGCCUAGAGGAAUGGUUGUCGGGGCGCGCAAGCGCUCGCACAGAACCCGGCUUAUAGGCCGGCUCCCCAU
rnacentral:RNase_P_RNA from 1 species